rnacentral:rRNA from 1 species
CGAACGGGUGAGUAACGCGUGAGUAACCUGCCCUAGAGUGGGGGACAACAGUUGGAAACGACUGCUAAUACCGCAUAAGCGCACGGCAUCGCAUGAUGCAGUGUGAAAAACUCCGGUGGUAUAAGAUGGACCCGCGUUGGAUUAGCUAGUUGGUGAGGUAACGGCCCACCAAGGCGACGAUCCAUAGCCGACCUGAGAGGGUGACCGGCCACAUUGGGACUGAGACACGGCCCAA